AGAUGACCCUGGUGUCAAUCAAGUUGAUGAAAACCUAGCCAGCACAGGGGAGCAAAGAGGUGGGGGACAGGGAGGAGGAGGGAAGAGAGCAAAGAGGAAGUGAGGAGGAAGGCUCCAGUGUGUGGCCCUAGACCCUAUCUCAAACCAAAGGUGUCUUCCUUGGAGAGCUGUUCACCUGAGAUCAGCUGAGGUAUCUUCUUUGAAAGAAACGUGCUGUUCGUUGUCUGACUGGGCUGAGUGAGCAGCCCUGCCCGUGAACAUGCGCACUGGUGUCCUUCUUUCUGCAGUUCUUCUAAAGGAGCAGUGACGAGUGGAGGUGCACGGCUUCUAUUCCUGCUCAAACCUCUUUGCCUUCACCUCCACCUAAACCUCUAUUUUGAGUCUCACUCCAUGAGUGUUCACUGCAUGCCAACUUGCAGGUUCCCACCUCUGAGAAGGAACCUGCAGGCUGCAGUCUUAGAAGGCUGAUGAAUUUUGGAAUCGUGGCCAAAGAGAACAAAGGGUCUUCCUUUGCUGUGUGUGGGAGGGCCCAUGGUGGGAAAGAUGGUUCCCUCUGUGUGUGUGUCCUGAAGGGUUCUGAACUAUAAACCAGCCGUUUCAGGUUCAUUAUGGUCGUUCCUUCCCAAAGCAGGAGGCUCGACUACAGAUUCCUCUGUAGCUGGUCUUUUAGGGAGAAGAAAACAUUGGUCUAAUUUGCUAAGUAAGGGUGGACCAAGGCUAAACCAAAUCAAAUGUAUACAUGAAAUCCAAUUGCUAAAGUGAUGCUUAGCGUUUAAAGAGGACAAACUUGCAUAUAGAUCUGAGAAGCAGUCUUGAGGUUUGAGGAUGCCAGUGUGUGUAUCAGGCUGCAUUUCUCAGAGUAAUCUUAUUUUUUCAUGUGAACGACCCACCUCAUGUCAAGCUUAACUUCCAACAUCUACAAUGUGAAGGGUUAAGAACAAAGCUGAAAGAAGAAACCAUGGAAAUAAAAAGCUAUGGUGAAGACCAGACACCAGCUUUAAAGCCUGCUGCUUACCCAGGGGAUUCUAAGUCUUCUCAGAGCGCAUUUGUGCUUCUUAAUUUUUACAUAAAAGAGUGAAUAGUUUAUUAUCAAUA
rnacentral:lncRNA from 1 species